UACGAAGGGGGGCUAGCGUUGCUCGGAAUCACUGGGCGUAAAGCGCACGUAGGCGGAUUGCUAAGUCAGGGGUGAAAUCCUGGAGCUCAACUCCAGAACUGCCUUUGAUACUGGCGACCUUGAGUCCGGGAGAGGUGAGUGGAACUGCGAGUGUAGAGGUGAAAUUCGUAGAUAUUCGCAAGAACACCAGUGGCGAAGGCGAAUCUCUGGACAGUUACUGACACUGAGGCACGAAGGCCAGGGGAGCAAACGGGG
rnacentral:rRNA from 1 species